CCGCUCGAUCAUCUCCGGCUCCGACUCCAGCGCGUCGAAUACCGCGGCGCCCACCAGCAGGUUAACACCAGGCACUGGCGACUGGCUGAGGCCACCUGCCCCAUCUUGAUUAUCUAUGGCUCUGGUCCUGCCCCAGCAUGACAGGCAGGACUUGGGCUGGGCGGCAUAGAAAACACAGGAUCCCACCUCAAGGCACAGAGGAGCAGAUCUUCUGCAUCCUCACACUUGAAGCAGGGACAGAGGAUGGACUCAGCCAUUACUGUGAUCUCAGGCAGAAGACAACAUCCACAAUUUGAUGACACCUGGGUCCCAGAUUCAUCAAGAAAGUAGAAUUAAGUUCAAGUAUGAAGAAGCCAUGGGGAAGGGUUCUGGAAGUGAAGGAAACACGCGAUACCAGUUACAUACAAGCAUCUGCUUAGUGCUCCUGACCAUACAGGACGGGGACCACUCCUGCUCUGUAAAGGAAGACGCAGAGGCUCCUCCAGGAGCAACUUCUUAGUUCUUACGGGGAGCUGGGAUUCAAUCCUCGAUCAGGCUGGCCCUAACUUUUCCUUCUCGGCCAUGCUCCCUCACUAAAAAAUGACUGAGGGCAGAGCCAGGCAACAACGGGGGAAUCAGAACAGAAGGCGCUGCUAAGGCUGGGCUGGCGUACAGCUAGAGCUCAGGGAAACGCUGUCACAUGGAUGAAUGAGGAGCUCUGAACGGAAGGAGCCGGGCAGGUUCGGGGACUUGGCAUCUGGAUUUGCCAUGGAUGGACAGAUGCUCCACUUCAGGUAGGAAGCGGGUCCAAGGUCUAGUGACGCUGGCUCACAAGGUAGCUUGGAGAGAAGACUAUCAGGGAACAGCUCUCGACCCAUUGAAAGUGGAGAUGAGGAAGGGGGGGUAGAGCUAUCCUGGCACAGUGCUCGGGCACGCGGCCCAGGCAGGGACUCAGAAGGUCUCCAUGUCUGUACAGAAGCCAAAGGAUAUUGUUGGGGCUUUGAGCUGGUGCCUGGAGGAAGACUGGUGCACCCAGGGCCCUCCAUGACCUGAAGGGGACCGGCCCAUCCCACCCAUUUGGACCAAGGCUACCUUGAAGAGGGAGGCACAAGGUGGGGGUGGGGGAAGACCCGGACCAUGAGUUGCGUAGAUCUCUGCUUGUCCAGAGAUGGUGUGGUCCAGUGAGCUGUGGAAACCACAGCGUGUCAGGGAGAUGGAGGUCAGCUGGGAGGCAGCGCUCAGGCAGAAGGGCACAACACCUUCAGGGAGAUGGAAAAAGUGAUGUCGUUAAGGAACAAUGUGAGCCAAAGGAAUGAGCUGUAACUGGCUGGCUCUGAAAGGACAAGUGGGAGAACGGCUGCCAGACGCCCAUGGGUGUCUGAUGAUGGCCUGCCACUACCCUUGGGAAGGGGCUGAGCCUCAGCCCCAAGGCCCUCUACCCCUUGGUCUGUUAAUCGAUGCAUGAUAAAUCGAGUCUCAGCAGACCUGUCCAGAGUGCACGGCCCUGAUUCUCCAGAGAAGAUCCAAUUGCGCAGCAGGAGGCUAAAGGGUAUGAGUUCUUGGUUCUGCAGGGUGGUCUGAGUCCUCCCUCUACCCAGCAUCCAAGAGGGGAAUUCUUCCACGGAGAAUGAGACAAGGAAGCCACUGACUUCAGGCCUCUGUUCCCUCCUUUGAUAAGAGCUGUGAAAGACCAAGCCAACCCUCCAGCUCAAAAGCCAGCCCGAGGCUGAGGAGAUCUGUCUGAGAGAGGACACUGGGAGUGGUGGGUUGUGGGAGGCCUGAGCAGGAGACUCAUAGUGCUGAGAAGUUUAGAACCUCUUAUGAGUGGUGAAGGGAAGGUGUGGGGUGGAGCCUGAGCUGACCCAAAGUCUUCCCUAACAAAUGGCGAGCAAACAGAGGCCUAAGAGCGGGCCAGGUUAAAAUGACCCUAGCACGCGGAUUUCACUGAGCUCAGCUCCCACUUUUGUUUCUUCAUAAUAGAAAUCUUUGCACAGCAGAGAAAAGGGGGCUCCCAUGAUGGUCAGAGUGCCCAGUUAGAGCAGAAACCUGCCUGGACUUUGGAAGUCUGGAGAAGCCAGAACACGCUUGUUCGUUGGAGUCUGUUUCUGGGACCAUGAUUACCAUGGAUUGGGGCCCCUGUGAAGUGCAACAUCUUCAUGGAGGGGGUUCUCACCUGGUAUGUGGGGACAAAGGAGUUUGUAGGUUUGAGGGAGUGGGGCUGUAAAAGGUAGCUGAACUCCAAUGGCUCAACUGGGGGAGACAAAUGGCCACCCAAGGUGUCUGUCCAUCUGCCCAUGGGACUGACAGAAGUGUGCAGACUUCCUUCUUCACAGGAGAAAGAUGACUUACUCAGACAGUAGAUGGAAUGGCCGUGCCUUGUCAUAGUCCCUAUAAUACUCUGUGGUCUCUCUCCCCUCUGCACACCUGGAGGUCCCAACAGAAAGUUGUGGUUGUCCCUCAGCUGCCAGGACAGGCCUCUCUAAUUGUUCCCCUUAUCAAUCCUGUCUUGCCACCAGGGUCUGAGCCCUUUGUCGCUUGAGCCAGGCCAGUUAUCUUUCCAACAGGAGGGAGAAGGACAGAAAGGGACACUUCUGGACAAAAUCGGAGACAGAGCAGGGAACUGAGGCAUGGAACUGGCCUGAGCCAUCCCCGUUCUCAGGUCUGCAAUGCUGGGCUCUAAAGCUGCAGGGGAAGGCAGCAGGCCGAGAAUCACUGCUCUGUUUCUUAAGCUCCCAGCUGGAACUAGGAACACCAAAUCCUCUUUGAAUAAAACAGAAAAGGGAUUAAUAAAAAUCAAGACAUUAACCUCGUGAAACCGGACCCCCUCAUUCCCACAUAGAGAUUAACUUCUUCCCCCAAGCUUUUUUUUUUUUUUCAUUUCUAUAAACAUCUUAAUUCAUGUGGACAUCACAGCCAGCCUGGAUUACAGUUGGAUGGAGAGGUGAAUGAACUUGUCUGAGACACACACACAGACACACCUGGAGCAGGGGAAAGGACAGUGAAGGAGAUGCUGAAGAGCCAGGGUUUAUUUCCAGAGUUCACUUUCCUCAUCUAUAAAUGGAGUAGUUAGCUUAUACUUCCAUUUUGUUCCCUCUGGGAACUCUGAUGGUCCAUUUCCCCAAAGUACUCUCUGCUGCAGAAAAGUCCACUCUCACCCAUACCCGUGGUGGCACACCAUGUCAACAAAGGUUCACUUCAUCCCAAGUCUCCUUUCUAGACCACAGGUUCCAGAAAGAUGGGGACAAGCUGCCAGGGACAACAGGUGCUCCACAGGUAUUGGUGAGUAAAUGGACAGAUAGUUCUGGAAAUUGCUCUGUGAGUACACCUGGAAUGGGGUUCAGGGUGUUGCUUGAAAUAGAGUCACUCUCCUCUUGAGGUGAGGAACACCUGGCCUUUCUGGAAUGUUCUCCCUAUUCCCUCCUGACUUCCGAGAGAUUCUCAAAGCCUCAUUUCUUUUGAAACCUUCCUUCGCCUUGCCAGCAGCGUCACCCCAAUCAAGCAACAGAUUUUCGAUGCACGUUUUCGGUUCUUCCUCCCACCUUCAUCUGACAAGUCCAAUCAUUCCCAUCCCUUGAUUAUGUUUUGGUUGGAGGCUGCAGCCAGCUGCAGUUAUUCUCAACUCUGGGUGGCAGUGAAGAGGAGGGUCAUUAUGGGGGAGUCUUGCCUCAGUGGAGAGCAAGAGACAGGCGCUGGGUUCCUCCACGGUUCGGGGGCUGGGAUAGAGGUGGAACUCUUACAGGGGGCGAGCUCUGGUUGGGUCAAAGGUCAGGGAACUCCCACUUGACUUUCAGUUUGGUCAGCAGGCCUCAAAGUACGCUCAGAGACCAGCGUCCCCUGAGGGGUUCUGUGGAAGAGAGAAGCCCAGGCUCAGUUAUGUUUGGGGAGCUCAGCUGUUCUCAGCCUUUGAUUGCAAGCUGCAGAAGUCAACUCUCCUAAUUUAAGCUCAGAAAUGAUUUAUUCCGAAGACCUUAGAUAGUUCAAAGUACCUUCUGUAGGAUCAGGAAGCCAAGGUCAGAAGGGAAGCAGCCAGAAGCAACACUCAAGGUCACAUGGUAGGACUGAUCCCAGGAAGGCUCCAUUGCCCUACAGACACUUUUGCUUGGGCCACCAGCUCCGUCAGCACCAGUACGGCCUCUGUACCCAUCACUACCGCCACCACUUCUGAAGAUAGGCUGCCAUGGCUUCCACUUUUGUGUAACACUUUCUGCAGGGGCCCUCCUUUUUCUGCACUUGGUUCUUCUGGGGGAAGGCAACUUACUGGUGGAGUGAAGUCAUGGACCUGCCCCCUACAUUCAAGAGAAGCUGGGGCAAUGAACUGAUCUUUCCAGCUCCUGUACCUGAAGGCCAUCCCUGCCUCCAAACAUGGGAGACAUCUUCAAGCAUGAGUGUGGUGGUUUGGAUGAGAAUGACCCACAUGGGCUCAUAUGCUUGAAGAGUUGGUCCCCAGUUGGUCAAACUGUUUGGGAGGGAUCGGGAGGUUUGACCUGGUUGGAAGAGGUGUGUCACUAGGGUCGGGUUUCAAAAGCCAUGUGCGAUACCAGUUGAGCUUUGUGUUUCCUGUGUGCGAGCUGAGACUGAGCCGCUGCUCUGGCUGUCUGCUUUCUUGCUGCCGCAGCUCUGCCAUCUCGGACUCUAACCCUCUGGAACUGUAAA